UACGUAGGGUGCGAGCGUUGUCCGGAAUUAUUGGGCGUAAAGGGCUCGUAGGCGGUCUGUCGCGUCGGGAGUGAAAACUCAGGGCUUAACCCUGAGCCUGCUUCCGAUACGGGCAGACUAGAGGUAUGCAGGGGAGAACGGAAUUCCUGGUGUAGCGGUGAAAUGCGCAGAUAUCAGGAGGAACACCGAUGGCGAAGGCAGGUCCCUGGGCCACUACUGACGCUGAGAAGCGAAAGCGUGGGGAGCGAACCGG
rnacentral:rRNA from 1 species